rnacentral:sRNA from 2 species
UAAGUACCUCGGUAGGUGAGGUUACUACAAGGAUAUGGGUUGCUGCCGUAAAAGAGUGGAGACACUCUGAACUGGUUAGCAGGUUCUGCCGAACUCAAGGCUUAACCUAAUGCAAUUUCACUGCCUUGCAGAGCCAAAACUUGAACGGGACGAUGUGUAUA